UACGGGGGGGGCAAGCGUUGUUCGGAAUUACUGGGCGUAAAGGGCUCGUAGGCGGCCAACUAAGUCAGACGUGAAAUCCCUCGGCUUAACCGGGGAACUGCGUCUGAUACUGGAUGGCUUGAGUUUGGGAGAGGGGUGCGGAAUUCCAGGUGUAGCGGUGAAAUGCGUAGAUAUCUGGAGGAACACCGGUGGCGAAGGCGGCAUCCUGGACCAUUACUGACACUGAAAAGCGAAAGCCAGGGGAGCAAACGGG
rnacentral:rRNA from 1 species